CACAGUUUCCUUUCUUAGGUUUUCCCAGUUUGACUUCCCUUCUGACAGACUUUUAUAGUGAACAGAGCACCAGACUGAGAACAAGAAGAUUGGAGUCUUUCCCUCUUCUACAGGUAACUCGGGACCAAAUGAAGAUGUUUAUACAGCAGGAAUUUAAGAAAGUUCAGAAAGUGAUUGCUGAUGAGGAGCAGAAGGCCCUUCAUCUAGUGGACAUCCAAGAGGCAAUGGCCACAGCUCAUGUGACUGAGAUACUGGCAGACAUCCAAUCCCACAUGGAUAGGUUGAUGACUCAGAUGGCCCAAGCCAAGGAACAACUUGAUACCUCUAAUGAAUCAGCUGAGCCAAAGGCAGAGGGCGAUGAGGAAGGACCCAGUGGUGCCAGUGAAGAAGAGGACACAUGAAGGCUUGCUACCCCCAGUGGAAAAUCAUCCCCUCCCCUUGUGUGUAUGUGACAGCGUGUAUGUAACGGCUUCUGAUUUCUGUGAAAGCUGCUCAGCAACAAACGUACUUCCACCAGAUGUGUCCCCAGAUCCACAGCAGGCACUUAUCUCUCCAAGGGAUGACCAGUUUUAUGCUUACUGUGUGCUUCUCAUCCUCUGGUUGUGGUAGGUCAAGGAAAAGAGCCCCUUUGAUCCAC
rnacentral:sRNA from 1 species